rnacentral:rRNA from 1 species
GUGAGGAAUAUUGGACAAUGGGCGCAAGCCUGAUCCAGCCAUGCCGCGUGAGUGAUGAAGGCCUUAGGGUUGUAAAGCUCUUUUGUCCGGGAAGAUAAUGACUGUACCGGAAGAAUAAGCCCCGGCUAACUUCGUGCCAGCAGCCGCGGUAAUACGAAGGGGGCUAGCGUUGUUCGGAAUCACUGGGCGUAAAGCGCACGUAGGCGGACCAUUAAGUCAGGGGUGAAAGCCUGGAGCUCAACUCCAGAACUGCCUUUGAUACUGAUGGUCUCGAGUAUGGAAGAGGUUGGUGGAACUGCGAGUGUAGAGGUGAAAUUCGUAGAUAUUCGCAAGAACACCGGUGGCGAAGGCGGCCAACUGGUCCAUUACUGACGCUGAGGUGCGAAAGCGUGGGGAGCAAACAGGAUUAGAUACCCUAGUAGUCC